CGUCUAUAUACGUAUAGCAUAUCAAUAAGCGGAGGAAAAGAAACUAACUAGGAUUCCCUCAGUAACGGCGAGUGAAGCGGGAAGAGCUCAAAUUUGAAAUCUUCAAGGUUUUACCUUGACGAAUUGUAGUUUAAAGAAGUGUUUUCUGUUGGAAUUUUGGUAAAAGUUCUUUGGAAAAGGACAUCAUAGGAGGGUGAGAAUCCCGUAUUUGACCAUUAUCUCCAGCUUUGUGAUACACUUUCAAAGAGUCGGAUUGUUUGGGAAUGCAGUCCAAAAUGGGUAGGUAAAUUUCAUCUAAAGCUAAAUAUUGGCGAGAGACCGAUAGCGAACAAGUACCGAUGAGGGAAAGAUGAAAAGAACUUUGAAAAGAGAGUUAAACAGUACGUGAAAUUGUCAAAAGGGAAGCGUUUGACACCAGUGUUGUUUUCUCGAAAAUCAAUUAAAAAGUGUUGGAUUUUGUAUUGUUAAGGGACCUUAUCAGCGUUACUGUACUCUUUUCCUGCUCCUUUUUAAUGCACUUUUCGUCUAACAAGUCAACAUCAAUUUCUUUUGUUGUAAAAGGGUCAUUGGAAGGUGGCUUUCUUUUCGGAGAAAGUGUUUAUAGCCUUUGGCCUCUGCAAUCGGAGAGAUUGAGGUCUGCAGCGUAGAUCCUUCGGGGUUAGAUACAUUUGUGCUAAGUUAUAGCCUUUCAUAGACAACUUGUUGACUAUGAUCAGUCAUGUAGCUUACUCGCUUAUGCUAUUUUACCUACGCUUAGGAUGUUGAAGUCAUCGUAUCGCGC
rnacentral:rRNA from 1 species